UUAAAUGGCCGCGGUAUUUUGACCGUGCGAAGGUAGCAUAAUCAUUAGUCUAUUAAUUAUAGACUGGUAUGAAAGGCUAAAUGAUAAUAAGCUGUCUUUUUUAAUAAAAUGAAUUUUAGUUUUAUGUGAAGACGCAUAAAUUAAAUUAAGGGACGAGAAGACCCUAUCAAGCUUUACAUGUAAAUUCUAGAUAAGAAAAUUAGAAGGAAAUGUUAUGUUGGGGCGACAGUAAAUUAUAACUUUUACUAAAUAAAAAUAAUUUAAUUAUAUUAUAUUUGGUCCAAAAAUCUGAGUAUAAGAAUAAGUUACUGUAGGGAUAACAGCGUAAUCUUAUUGGAGAGUUCAUAUUGAUAAUAAGGAUUGCGACCUCGAUGUUGAAUUAGGAUACCCUUAAGGUGCAGAAGUU
rnacentral:rRNA from 1 species